rnacentral:lncRNA from 1 species
AAUUAAUCAUUAACAUACCUAGCGCUUUCCAAAAGUUUUAUCCAGAUUCUUGAAAUUUAUCCAAAGUAAGAGAUAUAUUCUGGAAGCUGGUAAAAGUUUGUUGAAAGCUUAUGUUUCAACGUACUGAAUGCAGAUAUACGUGUUUUUUUCAGUAUUAAGCGUAUUUAGGAACCAUUUGUUAUUGUUUGAUUAUUAUCUUUUUAUGAUCACUAACUCUAGCCCAAAUAGUUUUCAGAGAUACCAGGCUUAUAACUUGGUACGUUAGACGCGUGUUCCGUCUGCAUAAGACACAUCAGCGACGCUCAUAUCUUGAUAGUUAGAAGCCAAAAAGGUACAAAAUUGAUAGCAUAGAUGACCCAAAUUGCAGACAAUUGUGACAAAUACGGCAAAGGUGAACUAUGACUUGGAUAAGAGAAUCUUUAGUAAUUCAAAUAAUACAUAUUUUUGUUAAUAGUAAAUUUAUAGAAAUGACCAUAUAAUUGAUAUUCAUGUCAAAGAGUUAGCUUAAUUUAAACAUCACUUCUCGUCGUCCUCAAUCAUAGUCUUUAUAGUCCGUUGCCUGUCAACGUUACAACGAAUAUACUGAUCUGAAAAUUCUAGACCAAACGGAAAUGAACUUUGCCAAUUUCAUCGUAAAGGGUGUUUAUUCAUAUGGAUUAAAGCAAGUUCUGUUUUUUGUCUUAUAAAUUGAUGUACCAGAGAUAAUCAAUCACGGACCCAACAUGCAGAAUGUCAGGAUCUACAAACCUUUUAUUCUUACUUAAUUUGAACUUUCUGUAACCAUUGAUGAAGAUAAUAAAUGUACUUUUUAAAUGAUUUUUUUUAUCAAAAUACAGAAAAAAAAUUAAGAAUCAUAAAAGUGAAUGUUAUCAUGACUAUCUUUAUAUUGGUGUACACAGG